rnacentral:rRNA from 1 species
UACGUAGGGUGCAAGCGUUAAUCGGAAUUACUGGGUGUAAAGCGUGCGCAGGCGGUUUUGUAAGUCAGAUGUGAAAUCCCCGGGCUUAACCUGGGAACUGCGUUUGAAACUACAAGGCUAGAGUGUGGCAGAGGGGGGUGGAAUUCCACGUGUAGCAGUGAAAUGCGUAGAGAUGUGGAGGAACACCGAUGGCGAAGGCAGCCCCCUGGGUUAACACUGACGCUCAGGCACGAAAGCGUGGGGAGCAAACAGG